rnacentral:rRNA from 1 species
UACAGAGGUCUCAAGCGUUGUUCGGAUUCAUUGGGCGUAAAGGGCGCGUAGGCGGCGUGACAAGUCACUUGUGAAAUCUCUGGGCUUAACCCAGAACGGCCAAGUGAAACUGUUGUGCUAGAGUGCAGAAGGGGCAAUCGGAAUUCUCGGUGUAGCGGUGAAAUGCGUAGAUAUCGAGAGGGAACACCUGCGGCGAAGGCGGGUUGCUGGGCUGACACUGACGCUGAUGCGCGAAAGCUAGGGGAGCGAACGGG